UACAGAGGUCCCAAGCGUUGUUCGGAUUCAUUGGGCGUAAAGGGUGCGUAGGCGGCGCGGUAAGUCGGGUGUGAAAUCUCGGAGCUUAACUCCGAAACUGCAUUCGAUACUGCGGUGCUUGAGGACUGGAGAGGAGACUGGAAUUCAUGGUGUAGCAGUGAAAUGCGUAGAGAUCAUGAGGAAGACCAGUGGCGAAGGCGGGUCUCUGGACAGUUCCUGACACUGAGGCGCGAAGGCCAGGGGAGCAAACGGG
rnacentral:rRNA from 1 species